UAUACGUCAAAAUAUACACCACCUUUUCAAAACCAUCUCACCUUUCAAACCAAAAAAGCUUUGAAACACACCAAGAACAAGCAACUAUGGCUCUAAUUGUCUCAAAACUUGGUACAUUGGUGCCGGUGUGCGUGGCUUAGCAGCAGCCAAGUGGCUAGCCCAUCACAGCAUGUUUCCACGGGCACCAAUGAUACCAAGUUUUGAGACGAUUGAACAAGGACACUGUUUCUGAUUUGCUAAAGGAUAAGAAGGUCAUUGAUUUAGCUCUAGAGUGUGCAGAGUCAAAUCGAGGGGCACAAUUCAUCCUUUGAUCCCAAACAUGGCUUUCAUGGGUUAUCUCGAGAGUGUUUCGAACCUUCACUCUUCGGAACUGUGCAGCAAAUGCUUGAGCAAACAAAUUUAACAUUUCUAACACUUGGUGAACCUGGUUGUUUUCUUCGAGACUUCCACUUCUUUACUUGUUUGCUCAAGCAUUUGCUUCACACUUGGGAGUUUAAAUUUGUUACUUUUAGCAUCAACCACAGUGAUGAAAUUUGUGAGGAGAUGGGGUGGACAUCUUGGAGGAAGAAUACUUGGUUGGCGGAAGCAUUUAGCCCCUAUGGCAGUCAAGACUAUCUGAAGAAACAAUGAACCUAUACUUUGCAAUAACAUCCUGAAUUCAUAAUUGACAGGUUCUUUACACCAGAACUCAAAAUAAAGAACACCUACUUGCAGGACAAAUGAUCAAUGUAUCAUGUUCUAUUUUAUCUCAAUAAAGAAUUUUUCCAUUGUUUA